rnacentral:rRNA from 1 species
CAAAAACAUUUCUAUUAGAUUAUAAUUAAUAGUAAAAUCUGCUCAAUGAAACUUAAAUAGCCGCAUUUGUGCUAAGGUAGUAUAAUAAUUUGUCUUUUAAUUAAAGACCAUAACAAAAGAUUUAACAUUUUAAUUAUUUUAAAAAUACUAAAUAUUAAAAUUAUUUUAAUUAUUAAAAAAUAAUUAUAUAAAAAAAAGACGACAAGACCCUAUUGAACUUAACUGAAGUUUAACUGGGGCAGUUAAUUAAAUAUUAUCUUAAUCUUAUUAUUUAAUAAUAUGACCUAUUAUAAUUAAUUAUUAAAUUAAGUUACCAUAGGGAUAACAGCGUAAUAAUUUUUUAAAGUUCUUAUUAAUAAAAAAGAUUACGACCUCGAUGUUGAAUUAAUAUUCUAAUUCACGCAAUAGUAAAUUAGGAAAGUCUGUUCGACUUUUAAACAAUUACAUGAUCUGAG